GACAGAGGGUGCAAACGUUGCUCGGAAUUACUGGGCGUAAAGCGCGUGUAGGUGGAUUGGUGUGUCAGAUGUGAAAGCCCUGGGCUCAACCCAGGAAUUGCACCUGAAACUACCAGUCUUGAGUGGUGGAGAGGGAAGUGGAAUUCCUGGUGUAGAGGUGAAAUUCGUAGAUAUCUGGAGGAACACCGGUGGCGAAGGCGGCGUUCUGGACUGUUUCUGACACUGAGGAACGAAAGCCAGGGGAGCAAACGGG
rnacentral:rRNA from 1 species